rfam:Gossypium raimondii chromosome 7, whole genome shotgun sequence.
AAACUAUGCAUAGGAAAUUUUCUAAGUAAUUCCUUAAAUCUUUUCCAGGCUUCGUCCAGCGUUUCAUACUCUGAUUUUUGAAACUAAGUGAUGUUAAUUCUAAGCUU